rnacentral:lncRNA from 1 species
AUGGCAGCGAAGGGGAGACCAAACCCCGCGUGGCCUCACCGUGGGGCACCGGGGAGCCCCCACAGCCCAAAUAUUGAUGGUGCCAACACUGGGCAGUGCCACAGCUCCUGGGCGCCUCCUUCUCCUGCUACAGCCACUUCCAAGCUGCUGCAAAAAACCCUUACAAAUACAUUAACAGCUCUUUGCACUUGGCUCCUUUCUCAGCCUGCAGGUCCCGAGGGAGCCCGUGCUCGAGGCCUGCCCGGCCGUGGCAGCAAAGGAGCCGGCGCUCAGCUCUGUCACAUCGCCGUUACCGGGGCCGGGCACACCAUGAACUCCGAGCAGCGGCCCCGUUAGCCGACCUGGUUCUUUUUGUGUCCUCUGAUGCACUUUGGGCUUUUGCGGAAGACCAAAUGGGGCUUCUCGAGGUGAUUAUGGCACCUUUUGGCUCCAGCCGGCCUGCUAAAAUGUGGGGCCCUGCAGCUUGUUUCUUUUUGGAGUAGAACUUAACGACAGCUUCUUUUUGUCCAUAGCUCUGCCUCCUGGAACAAGGGGAGGAAGCAAAGGGCAGGGACAAGCUCCUGACCCCAUGUCACUGCCCUCUUUUUGCCAUUGCCCAGUGGUAAGGCUUGGGGUCCCCACGGCCUGGGGGACACCAGGGCUGUCCCCACCCUUCCUCUGCUGUCUGACUCCGUCCCAGCCGUUCCCCGUCCCGUGCUUCCAAACCCCAAAGCACAGCAUGCCCCGUGGCUUCAGCGCAUUUUAAUCCAGACCGUGAUAAUGUGAUGGCAGCAGCCACAUCCAGGUGCCCUGACAGCAUCCAGGCUACCCCGUGCUGCGUGGGGCGCAGUCAGAGAGCAGCGGUGCUCUGCGGAGCUGCAGCUGGGGCAAGGCCGGGUCUGGGAGCUUAUCGGUGGCCCUAUACAUGCAAAACUGGAAACGUGAAGGAUUUCCGUGUUCCUCAGCAGUGCCGACCGGAGGCAGCGCUUCCUGCACACCAGAAGGGCUGGCAUCAUGAAACCGAGAAGCAAUUAGAGGGAAGUGAUUGCAUUAUACAAAUAAACCUUCCCUGCCGAUGUUUUUGGCA